CUGUUGACAUAGCUAUGCAGCUGAUUUGAAGAUACUUCAGUCUCCUUUCCAAGAAUGGCUUCCAACAAGGCAUCAUGGAUGAAUAUAUACUGCUCCUGAAAGACUUUCCCAUAGGAGCUGGGAGACAAAGGGUGUGCACUCAGCCCCCCUUGCAGCUCAAGCAAAGGAACUGAGGGGCGUCUCAUGGCAGCAGCAAUCUCCACACCACGACUGGCCUGCUGAGGCACUGUGCAGGCAGCCUUUGAACUUGCGCUUGGUUCUCCAACUCUCCCAGGAAGUCUGAAGGAAGAUUUGGCCCAAGUAAUCAAAACAGUAGCAGAGUUUCCAAGGUCCAAGUUCACAAGGCCCAAACUCCUGUUCAGCCCCCUUCAUGUGUUGAAUCCCAGGUAGAAAAAACAGAAGGACGCUGGCUGUACCUGCAGUGCACCAACACAGGGCCCAUGUCUGGCAUCCGAGCUGCUGAGGAUCUCCUCACGAAGGUCAGGACCGGGAGGGCAUACUCAGGAACUCCCAUGUCAGGCCACUGUGUGUAGUGAUACUGGAUCACUGCCCUCUCGUUCUGACGACCCUUGGGAUUUCCUUUUUGGCCCUGUGAAUGGUGUAAGAAGACCUCUUUAAUCUGCAUAUGAGCAUUCUGGAAACAAGGAUACAGAAUACCUGAAUUUCCAACUGAUAUCUCUGACUUAAGCUGUUUCUAGAAGAAGUGAGCACAGACAACCAGAAACUGCCACUGAAGUGAAAACACAGGCCAUGGACUUCACAGUGAGAUGGAACCAUAAGUGACUGGUGUCUAGCUAAGGAAAAUCGGCUUUUGAAGAGUUAAAGCCUCACCAUUCAGUAGCCCCUAAAAGUGCCUUAAGUCACUGGAAUGAGGGGCACACAAUUUACCAGGCCAGAAAUUAUUAAAAUAAUUUCUAUUUUAAGACCAUAA